GAGGACCAGAAAUACUUGGUAUUCAGUG
rnacentral:piRNA from 1 species